AUAGGUGUUUGAUGCAGACUAAAAUGUUAUUCUGCGCAUGAUGACGCGCAAAAGUACGUAUGCCUCCGCUUCACACGGCUAGCUAGCAGGAAGUAUGUUGAAUCCGUGGAGAAAAAAAUGACCGAAGAACCAAAGUCGGUUGUUGAUCUGAAAAAAUAACAAGUCUCCUAAAUGAGAACGCAAAUGCUGCGUUUUUCAGAUUCGGCAUCAUUCGCUCUGGUGCAAAGAACGUCAUUAAACGGUGCUCUUCCAGUGCCUGCUCCGUGUCCAGAUCCUUCCGGUGCUGCCCUGACGGGGUGGUAUUGAAUGGCUGAAAGAGAAGACUUUCUUCAGCUCUGGGAAGAAAAUGGCUGACGCCACAGAGUCCAAGAGCUAAGACUCUAUUUUACCCUUGUCUACUUUUGUUUAUUAUCUUGAGAUUUGAAUACCCCUUCCUUAAAUGUAUACGCCUACUAUGGCAAUGCAUGAUAUGAGCCGUGUCAAGGGUUUCCCCUGUAAAGAGUGUGAUAUGGUUUGCCCCAGUACCCCUAGUCUAUUAGAACACAUGAAGGCUCACUACCAGCAAGAAGAAAAUGGGAGGUUUGAGUGUGAGCAAUGUGGCCGCAUCUAUAAGCAUGCUGGCAGCCUGGCCAACCAUAAGAAAUCCCAUGAAGUGGGUUCCUUUCAGUGCCCAGUCUGCACCAGAACCCUGCCCAAUGCUGUGGCUCUGAAGAACCACCUCCGUAUCCACACCCUAUCCCCAAGCAGUGCCCAGGCAGAGGAAGACGGUGGUGACGAAGGCGCUGAAGACGGACAUGAUGAGAGGAACUAUGGUCUUGCACAAGACCUGUCUGAUGGCUUUGCCCGCAGUCACCUGAACAACAGUGGAAUGGGUCAUGGUGUGAUGUCACAUGACCCAGAUGAUCAUAAGAAGUCACCUGUAACCGAUGACGCCUGGGAUCGUCCAUUCAAAUGCGAUCAGUGUGAUAGGACCUACCGCCACCAUGGGAGCCUGGUUAAUCACAAGAAAUGUCAUCAGGAAGGGGCGUUCAAGUGCACCGUCUGUUACAAGCAGUUCAACAACCUGGCUGCUCUCAAUGGUCAUGAGCGAACCCACUCAAAGUUUAAGACUCCUGGAGCAUCGAUGGUUAACAACAUACAUGACUCUGUGACUGAUCAGCGUUCGUCUGCUCCCCAAACCGAUGAUGCAGCUAACUGCUUCUGCCACCUGUGCCAGGUAGCUUUGCCCAACAAGAGUGACUUCCAGGAGCACAUCCUGUUGCAUAAUGCAGCCUCCUCUUCACUGGGUCUUUCCCGUAGUUUCCCUGGGAUAAUGGCGCACAAUCUCAGCACUGUCCGCUCCCCAGCAUACACACCUGCCCUGGGUGACCCUCUGCCGCUUCCUCCUUUGCCAAAUGAUAAACGUGGCCCCUUUGACCCAAUGCUUGGACCUCCUGUUAAUAAUCCCAUUUACACUUGUGCAUACUGUGGGGCUGGGCAUCCUGAUCUGGAGAGCCUCAAAGUUCAUUACCUGACCCAUGACCCCCACCCAGGCUCCCAUGGUCAGGAUGGUAUCCUGAACACUGAUGGGAUUGGCUCUAACUCUAACCCAUCACCAUCUGGAGAGAGAGUGCAAUCUUCUUCUGAUGAUGGCGAACGUCGUUUCAAGUGUCAGGAUUGUGGGAAAAGCUACCGCCAUGCUGGAAGCCUGGUCAACCACAAGCGCUCCCACCAGACUGGCCUCUACCAGUGUACCAUCUGCUGCAAGCAGUAUCCGCACUUGGCAGCCUUGCAUAGCCACCUCCGCAGCCAUAAGGGAAGAACAUCCAACCAAUCAUCCCUCAACACUGAAGGUGACUGGCUCUCCUCGGAACCCCUGACACUUGACUCUCAGAAUAGUUAUGUGCAGGAGGGGAGCGGCGCAACCACCCCUAUCUCCCUCCCUGGAAAUCUUGGUGACGCUGCUCACUUUGUACCUGAUGGUGGACACAGCAGUGGUUUGGAUUCACUGGAGUUCCAUGAUCGAUUUGAUGGCUCCCUUGCCCAGAGCAACUCUGGGCACUCCCCUCUUCCCCAGAACCACCGCCAGGCUGAUAGACACAUGUGCACUGACUGUGGAGAAAUGUAUGGAGACAUCUCUGGCAUCAAGUCUCACAUGUGCCCCCAACGGCGACAGAACCAGGGGAUGUCCAAUGGAUUCAUGGGAAACAUGAGUGGCUACAACAGUCCUGGAGGCGCUGCGCUCCCUUCAGGUGGAGGAAAUGUGAAAGAGAGCAAUGGACAGCGCUCUCAGUAUGGUUCUCAGUCCCAUGCCCAAGGAGGGGGGAAAAGGAUGAAUAAAGAAGAUGAAGAUGAUGGUGAAGUGUACCAGUGCUCGGUGUGUGGAAACCAUUAUGCCAGCCUCAGAGCUCUGAGGAGCCAUCUGCGCAGCCAUGCUAACAAUCCCACAGGGCCUGGGACUUCGGCACUUUCGCCUAACGGUGAGGCAGACUGGAGGAUUAUCUGCAGCACCUGUGGCCAGAGCUUCUCCAGAAAGCAAGACCUGUUAAACCACCAACUGAUUCAUGGGCCACAAAGGUCCGAUGCAGCAGCGCAGAGCAUGGGGGCCGAUCCCACCAAUACUAAUGGCAAAAUGGAUGGUGAUGGGAGGAAUCACAUUUGCGUUGACUGUGGCAUGUUCUUUGCUGAUCGCCAUCACCUGAUUACUCACCUGUGUCCUGGAAAGGGAAGAGGAGGAGUGCUGAGCAAAGAAGGAUUGAAUGGCGCUAAAGGGAUGACUGGCGGAGACGGAGUUGGUGGCGGCGGAGUUGGAGGACCUGGGGGCAGUCGUGAUAUGGGAGGACAGGACCGUAGACAACAGAUGCCAGAUUCAGAGGAUCGACCCCACAAAUGUGACCAGUGUGGAAGGGGCUACAGGCACCCUUGCUCCCUGCUCAACCACAAGAAAUCUCACAAGACCGGAGUCUUCAGAUGCCUUGUCUGCCAGAAGCGCUACUACAACCUGCUGGCCCUUAAGAACCACCAGAGGACCCACUUUGAUUUAAAAAGCAAGGCUGCCGCUGGCACAGGGAGAAGCGGUCCCCAAGUGGCACCCGAUUCCGAAACGAUGGCUUUACUUGAAUGGCACAAGUGUGAGGAGUGUGGGAAGGCCUUCAAGAUCCAGAAGCAGCUGGAAAACCACCUUCGGCUCCAUGAAGAACACCGAGCAAAGGCUCACGCCCAGCUCGCAAAACUAGGCAAUGGAAGGUAUCAAGGAGGACCCUCUGGCAUGCAGGCCAUGAGAGGAGAAUCGUCCAAAUCCCAGAACCCUGGCAUGGGGGAAGUCAAGUAUGGACAACAACAACAAGGCUUCAAGCAACCCUACUCAGAGGCUGGCACUUCAAGGGCUCAGAAUUUUGAUCUACAAGAAGGGGGACGACGACCCUUCGCCUGUGAUGAGUGUGGACGGAGCUAUCGUCAUGCAGGUAGCUUGGCCAAUCACAAGAAUCUUCACAAAAUUGGCGAGUAUCACUGCAAUGUCUGCAACUCCACUUACCCGAACCGCCUGGCCAUGAAAAACCAUCUGCGUCUUCAUUUUGCCCUCAAGAAGCACACUUGCCAGGAGUGCGGCAAAGGAUUCCGUACCCAAAAGCAGCUGACCACCCACCACUCUGCACAGCUCUGCAAGGGGGCUGCAGGUGCUGUUGCUCAAAUGGAUUACGAGUGUGAUGGGUGCUGUGAGGGUUUCGCUACUGCAGACCAGCUGGCUGCACAUGACUGCCCUGCUCAGCAGCUCCCUUCGUCCUCUGCCUCCCUCAACAGCUCAAGCCUCAGCAUCGAUGGGGCUGACCUUGUGCCAGAUGAACGCCCCUACAGCUGUGACAUCUGCAACUGCUCUUACAAACAUGCCAGCAGCCUGCUGAACCACAAGCACACACACAAGACGGGCACUUUUACUUGCACCUACUGCGACAAGCCGUACUCCAACUACAUGGCGCUGCGCAACCACAUGCGCAUUCACACGCAGAAGAAGAGGCACAUCUGCCACCACUGUGGGAAAGCAUUCCGGCUAGCCAGAUUCCUCCGCAAUCACCAGAAGGUCCAUGAGGAGGGCCACACACGCUUUGGCUGCACCAGCUGCGGGAAGAGCUUCCAGGGGAGGUCAGGCCUGGCGAGGCACCGCUGCGGGGAGAACCAGGUAGGCAAGGAGGGCAGGAGGAUGGCCACUGCAAGCACGACAGGGGGAGAAGAGUGCCGGUACACAUGUGACCAGUGUGGCCGCUCCUACGCCCAUGCCAGCUCCCUCCUCAACCACAAAAACACCCACACCGUCGGCAUUUACCACUGUGCUGUGUGCCUCAAGACCUAUUCCAACCUCCUGGCCCUCAAGAACCACCGGCGCAUCCAUUCAGAGAUUCGGCGUCACCGCUGCCCAGAAUGCGGCAAGGCUUUCCGUGUCUCCUCCCAGCUCAACAGCCACCGUCGUGUCCACCUAAAGGAGAGGGAGCUAACUUGUGGCCCCUGCCAGCGCAGCUUCCCCAGCCAGGCCAGCUUCCGGCUCCACCAGGAGAUCUCUCACGGCCAAGCCCCCAGGCCCCCCCAGCAGAAACAGGCCAGGGCUGGGGGAGCCUCUGGGGGCACAUCCGGGGGCGGGAGCUCAGGCCUUAACUGGGACUCCGGCCUGGAUCUCACGCUGUUGCAGGCCCAAGGACUGGUCCCCAAUGGACUACCCAAAAUGAACUCCCUGUCCUUCCAAGGCCCCAGUGGCAGCAGGAGCCGUGGGGCGACGGGGACCAAGUCGCACGUCUGCAACCAGUGCGGCCGCGGCUACCUCCACGCCAGCUCCCUCCUCAACCACAAAAACAGUCACAAAACAGGCGCCUACUUCUGUAACUCCUGUCAGAAGGAGUUUCCCAACCUGAUGUCCCUCAAGAACCACCGGCGUAUUCACACUGAGCCCAAACGUUUCCAGUGCCCCGACUGUGGAAAGUCCUUCCGUGUGUCCACCCAGCUCAUCUGCCACAGGCGCAUCCACACCAAGGAAAAGCCCUUUUCCUGCCAGCAAUGCGACAAGCGCUUCUCCAGCAAGUCCAACCUGCGCCACCAUCAGAAGGUGCACUGGAGCAGCUCAGCGCCCCCCACCAUGGCCAUGGGCGCUGCCAGCUUCUUGGGUAUGCCCUCAGGCCCAUUUCUAUAAGUAUGGGUGGGGGGUGGGGGUGCUAGUGUGAGAUGCAUUGAAAUGCCAAGGUUUUAGAGGUGCCAAAACUCUUAGUCCCCUUCCUUCUCAUUCACCACCAUCUCGCUCUUGUUGUAUAGUGUGAGGUUUAUAUCUGUAUAUUUUCACAGAACAGAUGAUGUGUUUUAGAGACCCAGGCCCUGCAUGCAACCUGAGACCAGGGAGGGUAGAGGGGGAGAGGACUGACUUGGCAUGGACGACAUCUACACUGGUUAAGACAGUCUGGUGGCAAAAGCUUCCCCCAUCUGCUUCAUCCCAACCAGCAUGGCUACUCUUGCUUGCAUUCACUCGAUGGCCUUUGCUAGGGGACAAGAACCCAUUCGCCUGUAAUGGUACACAAGGAUUACUGCUCACUCAGUGUAGGAUGCGUGCUAGACUUCUCUGUUCGGCCCUUUAGAAACCUUAAUGAUAUACUGUUGUCAUAGCCCCUGUUGCAUGUUGCACAGUAGAUGAUUGUAGAUUUCUCUGUGUUUUAUUGACAGUUAAGCCCCAGUGUCAAAGUUACAGCAAACCUGGCACAUUAGGAAGAACAUCCUUAUGCCAUGCCAAGAGUGUGGCGUGAAGCUCACCAAGUCAACCACAUUGAUGAAUUUGACCAAUGUUAAGGUUUUCUUUGUGGCAUCUUUGCAGUUUGAAUGCAUUGCACAUCACGACAUCCCAUUCCAUAUCUGUUGAUUUUGGAUAAAGCCUUUGCAUGCGGCCUUUGUCCUGUUCUACAAAACAUCUUAAACACACGAAGAUGAGCUUCAAACCUUAUUAUUCUGCAGAUGACAGCAAUGCUCUUUAUCGGUUGCUUCUUUCUGGCAUCACAUUUGUGUAUUCCUCCUAAUAUUUAAAAAAAAAUAAUAAUAAUGUUUCUGGGCACCCAUAUUUUAAACACUGCGCCUAACUAGUAAACAUGUAUAGACAAUAAGUUGUGGUUUUAAAAAAAAAAAAAAAGGAAAAAAAAGGAAAGAAAAUGUAUAUUGUUAGGCCCAUGCCGGCAUUUGGUUUUAUCCUGUAUCGUAAUCGUACUUCUGACUGUAUUAUUUACAGUUGACUUUUAUAAAACAGAUCAUUGUAGAAUGCAUUUAUUUAUAUUAACACUUGUAAUGGAAAACGCUAGUCUUAGGAUCUCUGUUUAGGAGCUGUGUUGUAACCACCCCCUUUCCUUACACUUACCCCUGACUAUUCAUCCUGUAUGUAUAAUUGACAUGGAGUCAAGUAUGAAGGACUCCCAAAGAACACUUGUUACAGUACUCCUCCAUGUUGUCUCAAUUUGUUAUGGUUUUACAAAAAAAAAAAGAAAGUCCCUUGUACAAUAAACGGGGAACUUGUAUAAUGUGUGUUUUUGAUUGCAGUACAAAGAUUUAAGGAAUUAUUUCUGAAGUGAUGUUGUGACCGUCUCCCCUCAAGUCAGACUGGACUUCCUUUUGUUUCACAAAAAGCUCACACUCAAAAGGGAUGACUUUGUGAAUUGUUUGUGCGUUCAGUCCUCAUUCUCUUUAAGUUUUUGUUACACCUUAAUCGUAACCCUUGUAUUUAUUAGUAUUUCUUUUAUUUAAUUGCGUUUUGACUAUUCAAAGGUCUGUGUGAACACCUUUUACUGGGAGCGCUGGUGCUAGUAAGUGAAAUAUAAAGUGACAGUGAAGUGAUUUUUAAGAGCAAUGUGCUAACUAGACCACAGGACAACUAACUAUAUUUUAAUUGUUUUCUCCAGAAUUGGUUAAAAGUGGACACUUCCAACCAUCAUUACGGUUAGAUUAGAAAGGAUUAGGUUUGAACAACUAUAAUGAAUCAUUUUCAGUUCUAACUUUUUUGUUUCAUACAUGUAUGUAAUGCCUACUACACACUUUUAUAAACUAUGUUUUCAUAAUUCAUUUCUUAACAAAACCUGUCCAUAUUAUAACCCCUAAUGCUGAGUACUGAAAAUAAAUAGUUGGAAAACAAGUCAAGAACAUUGUGGUGAAUCAAUUGUCCUUUAACUCCACGCUUUUAAUGUACUUUUGAAAGUGUUGUGUUUAAAUAAUCAACUUGUUUUCACACAGGCCAUUUUUAACCUGUGAAGGUGAAAUCAACCUGGGUUAACUCGACCUUGUUAAAGACCUGGCUUGAACAUUUUCACUUCAGUGAAUUGGUCAACUUAAAAUGUGUCUAGUUGAGGGGCCAAAUAAUUGACCUGUUUGAGGAUAUGUAAGGAAGGGGGGUAUACAAUUGCAGAUCUUUAAGCAAAUGAUGUAGACUGCGGAUGAAGUUUGAUCAUGUUAUUUACCUUGUUGCCUUUGGAAAGGCUGGUGCCCUCAUCAUACACCUAGGCCGUUGCUGAUAUUUUUUCCACUAAAUGUUAUUUUGACCAAUCACAUCAGAUCUUAUUCAGAGCUGAUCUAUAUUAGAUAAAAUGGCAAUUAGUGGAGAAAAAGAUUGGCAUAAGGCUCCCUGUAUAAACACAGCCCUAGAGGAUUUGACCUCUUGUCAUUUUCAGUCAUUUGCUCAUGUUAGUCCAAACAAUAAGGAAAUGGACACUAAUGCACCUAUAUGUAAUCUUUAAGGUACAAUCUUUGAAUGCAUUCCAUUAUCUUGAUGCUAGAAUAUUUGUUUGUUUUAUGCAACACACAAUCACAAUAAUAUUGAGUUUACAAUGUGGUUGUUGAAAAUAUACCUUAAUUUAUAAUCAACCAAAUGCGUUUAGAGCUCUUUCAUCCUUGGAAGAAGAAUAUCCUCAAACUCCUUUCUUUAGUUUUUCCACUUAGCUGAUGUUUAGACCAACCUCAUUUUUCCACGUAGGGUUUUUUACAUUUUUUAUUAACCCAGUCAAGUCUGAGUGUGCAUAUUUGCCGCUAGUUAGCUUAGCACGCUAACAUAGUGUCCAUAUGGAAUCUGUUGAGCUGAUGCCAACGUCUAGCAACCACAGUGCAUUUCUAUUACAUGUUUUUCAAGAGUGUGGUCACUAUACACGUUGGAUGGAGUGUCUGCGUGGUGGUGAAGUGUGUUUUUGGAUGUCUACUUUUGUUCAAUUGCUUCCUAUAAGCUCUUAGAUUAAUAUGUUAAACUAACAAGUGGCUGCUCAAAUUAAUGACAUAAAAUAUUUUUGUCUGGGUUGAUUAAGGAACAGUCAAGUAUUUGUAGAAACCAAAUGAAAUCGUUUUUUUAGUAAAUUGUCCUACGGGUUGUAGAAUCAACAUUGCAAUAUUGCAAUUUUUGUGUAUUUGUCACCAUGAAUAUGAAACUAGCCCAGAUAUUGAAGACACAAAUCUCUCACCCGUAAUCUUACACAUGUAACUCUGACCUGUUCCAUAUUUGUUUUGUUUUCAUGUACAUUUCGUCUUUUAUAUAUGCAUGAUAGUUUGUGCUUAAUAAAGAUCCACCCGUGUUGAAUA